ensembl:lncRNA
ACUGUAUAUCAUCACAUGAGCGCAUGCCACAAUAGAUUACACCAGAAAUACUUCUGAAGGAAUUUUCUUUUUCUUACGCAGGAUCGCAGGGAGUCAUUCUGAAGAGGGCACCCUCAGAGGUCGCUCACUGGUGCCUUACUGUAAGAAUGUAAUGACUUGGCGUCUGGAGACUUCUCCAGAGCUCCUCUUUACUAAUUUUAGAGGAAAGACCUUGCAUAGUUCACAUGCCCUGUCUGUUGUGUGAGAUCUGCCACUUACGUAAUGUCUUCUGAGACUGACGUAUAGAAAGGAAUGCACGGCUCAAUGCCUUUUUCUGUGUAAAUACUGCCUGUUAUCACAAAGGUUUUCUUAUUCGACACAGUGUGUACGCUCGCGUCAGCUGUUUUCUAUUCUUCUCAGAUGAGUUUCUGUGUAAGACAUUAGCUGAUUUCAUUGUGCGUCAAAUGACCCGUUCACACAAGAUUCAUUUCAUAAUGCAUACUGAUAAAAAAAAAAAAAAACAUAAAGAUGAAUGGAAACCAUGCUGUUUUAGCAGCUGAAACGACCUUUUAUGUGCUCUUUAAACUCAUACGGGAGUACCUUUUUAAAUUUGCUACAUCUAAAAUGUUCUAAUCAGAUCUUUAUACCAUACUUGGUUUAGGGAGGAAGCAUUUCCUGCAACGGCACCUGCCUCUGAAAGUUGCCAACUCUUCAUCCACUCAGUACUAAGAGGACAAUAUUUGAAUAAGUGGGCUACAAACAUUGUACAGAUGUGGACAACCAGCCUGUCUGGUGUGGUUACUCAGUUGUGAAACCACAUAUACUUCAAGAUUUAGGUGAUUCCUGGUUUAGGUGUGUCGACCAUGGUUCACUGCACAUCAUUGCAAUGCACCGAUUUGAUUUGUAAAAUUACAAUAAAAGUCUAUAAAUAUAAAGUCUAUAAUUUAAAAAAACAGACAUUUUCAUGACUUUCGCAUUGUAUUAUCCAUCUUCUUCUACUUAUUUGGGGCUGGGUGCGGGGGCAGCGGCAGAAAAGCCCAGACCUCCCUCUCCCCAGACACCUCCUC